CUUGAAUUUCACUCUUCCUCACAUGUACGAACCCUGGUGUAGUCAUGGUUCUACCAGGCUAUAUGGUGUAGUCAUGAUUCUACCAGGCGAUAUGGUACAGUCAUGGUCCUACCAGGCUAUAGAGCGUUUGCACUCAUUCCCCAGGGACCAACUCAACAAAACCAUGGCGGUUGAGAUUAGAGGUGUGCAAAUCCGAUUCGUUCGGAUUUCGGAACAAAAAUAUACAUUUCUGGUCGGAUUGAUAAAGUUGUUUCGCAGUCGGAUCGGAUCGGACUUCGAUAUUCGAAAUAAAAUCCGAAUCCGAUCCGAGUUGUAAUAAAGAAUUCCAAUCCGAUCCGAAGAAUCCUUUAACAAAAUAAAUUUCUCAUUCAAG